CGGCAAUGGGGGCAGAGAGGCAGGCAAGUCUGGGCUCCGCCAGGGAGCUCCAGGCCUGGCGCGCGGCUGUGGGUGCCACGCGGGGACUGGGGUGCAGUGGAGACUGUCCGCGCGCGGCUCCAACUCGAGAGCGAGGGUCGCUCGGACGGCGCGGGGAGGCUCCGCCCGGCUCCCUCGGACCGCCCCGCGUCAGAACGCAGGCCGCGGGGCAGGACGUCGAGGGCUCGGGACGCCUUGCUGGCUGGCGACCUGGCGCGUGGAGCUGGGGACCGGGAUGAGGCGACAGGCUCCGCGCGUCACGUGACUCCCGGGCUGCGCUUGGAGCUGGGUCUCUGCGACUCCAAGGCUUGGGGUUCGAGUCUGUACCCACAAAUCCUUUGUGUGCUGCGGUUUAAGAAAACCACAGAUGAUGGUGCUGGAUCAUCGCUAGUUAAAGUGCUGGAUAUGCCCAAGGUCACAUGGCCUAAGAAAAACUGCUCUCCCUUCCAAGGACCCAGCAGUCUUUAGACCAGCUCAAGGUGAAGUGUGAGAGUGGCCUGAACAUGGACAGGAGGAGGAGACCCUCUGGUCCUUUCUCACUUGGGAGUGAUGGCCUCCCAAUUCUCCCUGCUGGCUGAAAACCAAGUGCACUGGGAUUCUGAGAGGCAUGAACCCCCAUGCCUGAAACUUGCCUCAUCUCCCAACGAGAGCCUUGUCUGGAGUGUGCAUCAGCCAUGCCACAGGAGGCAGAGGCUCCAGUGGCUGCAGUAGAUACGGUGGCUGCAGUGGCUGUGGUUAGUAUUGCAGCAUGCGGGAUCCAGUGGAGGGAAAGACCCCAGCAGCCUCUACAGCUCCUCCCAUCAUGAUGAGAAGCUAGCCAGUGGAUAGACAGUCUCCUAGUCUCCUAGUCAAGGCACCGUUAAUUUCUUUAUGUCCUGCAAACAAAGUAUGUGGAGUCUUCUCACCAAUAUGAUCUGACCAUCUAGUUCUGCUGGCUCACCCAGAACAAUGGCAAGCGCUCGUGUUAUUUUAGGGCUUCCUGAUUGCUACCUUAUUCAUACUUGGCACUGAGACUUUUAUUUAAUAACCUAUGUCUGUUGGGAGCAGCUUCCUCCACUAAUGCAGAGCACCUCUGUUUAGACUGUUUCUUUGAAAAACAAAAACAAAAACAAGUUAAAUUAGCAUACGUACUUGUGGUUUUCCAUAAAUCGUUUUCAUAUGUCCUAAGUCUUGGUUAGCUCACAUCGUACCCACCCCCUCCUUCCCACCCCACUGCCUCCAUCUACACUUAACCCUUCAACCCCCAGUAUUCCCUCCCUGUUCUUUUGUGUCGCAUGUGUUCUACUGUCCCCUCUAAUUAUAUUUUUUAAUGGGACUUGAAGAUCAUAGGUUUCCAUGGACCUUUUCCAGACGCCCUUCAUUUCCGUUAACCCUUCUCUUGCUUACACUUCCCCAUGCUUAACCUUCGGUUGGUCUGGCCUCCCUCUCUGCUUAUAUCGUAACUGUAUUUUAUUGUCUUCCCUCCCUUAAUGCCCAGCCUCAGUGGCCCAUUUCUAGUUUUCUAGAUCUGUUUGUUCUUCAAGUUAAACACCCAAGACAAAGUAUUUGAAGGCAGGAUCCUCUUGUGGGACAGAAAGGCAGCAUUUGUCUUUCUGGGCCUGGGUGACCUCAUUUAGUAAAUAUAUAUUUCCUGGUUCCAUCCAUUUAGCUGAAAUUUUCAUGACAUUUUUCUUUUGACCAAGUCAGCUUAGGCAGUCAACAGGUGCUCCAGGGCAGGAGUGAGGAUUAAAAAGAGAGAGAGAGAAAAAAAAAGACAAUUAGACAACACUGUAGCAUGACCCCAGCCAGUCCUGAGACUGAGGUGGGUUUAUUCUUUCCUACUCUGCUUUUAUAUCAUUUUAAUUACAUGCGAAUAAUAAGGUCAGUUCUAGAUUGAGGAACAAGCAAGACAAUAAACACAAAUAGUCAAGGAACAAGUAAGGCAAUAAAUGAAGUCCUGUGAUUACUCCCUUGGUCACUGUUUCUAGGGGCUUAUCAGGAUGACCAAGGUAUCUGAGCCUACUUCCCUGUUUUAGACCAAAGUCAUAUUCUUGCCUGAAGCCUACUUCUUUGUUCUACCUUCAAAUCAGAUUCCUGCCUGAGCUCCCUUCCUUGUUAUGGUCCAGUGUCAAAUUCCUGCCAAGCGGCCCCCCAAAGCUCUGCACAUCUUUGCAGCUGAGUAUUCCCUAGUAUAAAUGUGCUACUCUUUCCGUAUCCCUUCAUCAGCUGGCGAAUGUCUGCUUGAUCCUAGGUCUUCAUCACCAUGAACAGAGCACUAGUGAACAUGGAUGUAAGAGUGUCUCUGAGAGGAUGUCAAGUCCUUUGGAUAUGUGCCCAAAAGGGACAUUGCAGGGUCAUGUGGUCAUUCUACUUAAAGUCUUUAGAGGAACUUUCAGCCCAAGUUCUAAAGUGACUGCACCGUUUACCCGCCCACCAACAGCACACGACUGUCCCCAGUCCUCCACAUCGACACCGGCGUUUGUUGUCAUUUGUUUUCCUAAUCAUAGUCACGGACUGGGGUAAAAUGGAAUCUCAAAGUAGCUUAAAUCUGCACUUCCCUGAUAGCUAAGGAUGUUGAACAUGUUUUCAAAUGUUUUGUGGCCACUUGUGUUUUGAGAAUGUACUGUUCAGCUCCGUAGCCCAUUUUAAAACUUGGGUUCUUUGUUCUUCGGUUGAGACCUCCAGGAGGAGAACAGAGCCUGUGGGGGCCUGGCCCUGAGUGCUGUGGACCCAAACACAGCAGCAAGAUUCCUUAUGUAGGCCUGCGAACAAAAGAAGGACUCUCCUGAGAGUGUCUCAGAAUUCUGCCAAGAUAAAAGGGUCCCAUCAGACAUCGAAGGACAAGCAGAUAGCAGCACAGCAGCGAAGAGGCCAAAGACCAGACAUGCCUCCGUUUUUAAGCUACUGUGUGAGCCUGAUGCCCUAGAAUUAUGGAGUGGUCUCCGUCCUGAAACUCGAGUCUGAGUUUCACUGGUCUGGAAACACUCAGCAGCAAACACCAGCCCCUCACGACAGAGUUGCAGCUUACUCUCUGGAUCCACGAUGCUCAGGACUUUCUUUAGCACCAGUGAAUGGCUGGGUAAAAGAACAAGGAAAACAGGCUGAUGCCCUCAUGCUGGCAAUUCCCUGGAAUAGCACAGAUGUCUAAGUCGCACUCAGGCCUGAGUUCCAGCAAGUACCGCGGGCGGUGACUGCACCACUGUAACAGACGGAAUUGAUGGGAAAAUGCCUACUUCCCCAAGGACCCUGAGUGGCUCUUGCUGCCCUGACUGCGCCCUGGGAGUUGUCUUCAGGGUCCCUCAGAAGCCCUCACAAUCUACAACUACAAGAGAAACUCUUGCUUCAGCAAGGCAUAUCUGAGGCGCUUCUCUGGAAUUUAUGCCAGUGACCAUCCUGAGUGGCCCGGGGAGUGGUUGGACAGCUGGGUGGAUUUUGGAGUCCCAAUCCUGGAGAGCAAGUCUCGAUUCUUGUUCUCCACACGUCACCGGAAAGCAUCCAGGCUCAGCGCACUUCUCCGUUCCUCGCUGCUUCUUACCUUACUUCUGAUCACGAGCUCCCUUCUGUUUUGAAUUCCUUGGAGCCCGUCUCCCUUCAUUGGACAUACAACUGUAUGCAAUCUCAGUUUUGAUACAACUUUCCCAGCUUGUGAUGUAUAUUUCUCUAGUUUUCUUUGAACCCCCCCAGUGUGAAACAUAUCUAAUACAACGUUUUGUACUCUUCAUGACACAUAGCUGUCGGGGAUUCAAAUCACAAGAUAGAAUGUAAUACGCCCCGGGGAGUGGGUGGACCCCAUAUACCCUUGAAACAGAAGGAUGUUGCUGAGAUGGUCCAGUGCCUUACCCUGUCACUCAGAUGCUCAGUCAGAAAAUAAAAGCUCUGGUUGAACUGGCUUUGAACUGUCCCUCAGGGCCUUCAUGCUUUCCCAACAGCCCUCACAGAGUCACUUCCACUAUGUCGCAGUCACCUGGGGAUGACACUCUAAAGACUCUUCAUUCUGAGAACAUUGAACAAAAGUUUUUGUGUUUUGGGAAAGGACCCUUGCACUCCCUACACAUGACUUUUCUACCCUGGGGUGGUUCUUGAAGACAACUUCCCCAAGCAGUCGUCAGAAGGGGUGCUCACACUGUCUCUUGUCACAUGUGGUUCAUAUGCUCAGCCACAGCUCAGUCAUGCGUAUGUGCUCUGGCCCUUGUGACAUCUCCUGAGGCCAGCAGGAUGCUGGCAAGCCCAGUGUCUGCUCAAACUUAUCUUUUAGUUUCUCUUCAGAGUCUCAGAAAAACACAGGUGGAAAUCUGCGCUCGAUAUUGCGGGAAACACAAGUUGUAUGUAUAAAAUUUUGCCAAAACCCCAGUGAAAUUCUAAAAUUUAAACAUAUUUUAAAAAAAUAAUGUUUAAAUGUUUUUAUGCUGAAAAUACUCAAAUUGUGCUUGCCUCUCAAAUACAGUGAGAAUAAAAAUUGCUUACAGUCGAUGAACAUCCUGGGCAUGCUUGCUUCCUCUGUUUGCUGCAGCUGUUAUAAUGUGGAAGUUAAUUUUCAUAGGACAAACAGAACUGAGCAGGAAGCACGCACCAUCUCCUCUUGGGAGGACCCUGGCUGUUAGAACGAACAGUGGUACACAAGUUCUAUUAGAUGGGGGCAGCUGCAGGCACUGCCACAUCAUUGCAGGAUGCAGGUCCUUGCUA
rnacentral:lncRNA from 1 species